UUGUGUUUAUUUUUUAUUUUUUGCUUAAAAAUAGAGUAUUUGAUUCAACUGGUUCAAGUUCUCUGCACAUUUGGGGUUAUUCUAUAUCUUCACACGAAAGGUAAUUCCCUAAUUUGUUUCACAAAUCCCAUAAUUUUUUAUUAUCAUGAUUUAAGUUCAAAAUUAGUAUCUUUCAAGAAAAAUAUUGGAUCUUCAUGCUUCAAGUAAUUCGAAUAAAUCGAAUACACUAUAUAUAUUUUUUUAUUUUUAAAAUACACUACAUAUAUUUUUUUUAUUUUUA
rnacentral:lncRNA from 1 species